GUUCUGUAAGAGAGAAGUGAACUGUGCUACAAGGAACAUUUUACAUAAAAUAAAACAUAGUAAAACAUGAACAUUAAUUUGAACACAUAUGAAUGUUGAAAGACGUCGAAUCGUCCUAGAAUGUCGAGGCCCGAUGUUUCCGAGGAUGCGCACGUAGCGUCGAAGUCGUUCCGGCCGAAGGGAAAAGUACAAAUCGAAGCGAAGAGCGAAUAUUAAAAAGUAAAAAAUAGUCGUUCGACGAGUUGUCUGAUCUUAAAUACUGGCUGAGGUUCAGAUCAAACUCGCCUCGCGUUCGUCGAUAUUGCCACGAAGACGAUCGCUUCAAUUGAAUAAUUUAAAAAACUUGUGUACCUGCAGGCCCCAAAGAGUCUUGAUCCGACUCUGGGACGGUGAUCUAUGCUAGAUUUUACUCGCACCAUAUCUACUAUAAAUUUUCCAAAAGUUGAUAGCGUGAAUUCGAUCAUAGAUACUCUUGAUGGAAAGCCGAAGCGUUUCCACGUGACUACAACUAAUGAUUACAUUAAAUCUGUAAAUAAGAUUCAAUGUGCUAAAUUACUAAGUUGUUAUAAAAAUUUCAUACAUUUACGUCAAGUUCGGCGGCGGACCUACUUUUAAAAUUUCUAAAAAUCAAUAGUCAAUCAUUAGUACUGCGUUAGUGCCUCGGGUUCCCAAAGUUUCGAUGUGAAUGCCGUAUAAUUAUGCGUUUUAGAAAGAAUUCUUAUAGGCCACUCAACUUGAAGUUAUGCGGACUUAUUAGUAUAGUAUUUAUUUUGAAAUUUAUUAAUAAUCGUUAGUGCCUG
rnacentral:lncRNA from 1 species